rnacentral:rRNA from 1 species
AAUGAAYUGAACGUUGGCUAAUUCAUAAAUCCAUAUUUUAUGGAUAAUAACUUGUAGUUUAGUUAGUUGUAUAACUCCUGAUUAUAACAAGCGUGAUCAAACAUGAGAUCUUAGAGGGUGAUUUUCCCGUAUUUUAACAAAUCAGGAGUUUUCUCAACUAUAUUUUGAGUAGUGCUCUUUGGUACUAGAGUUCUAAGCGUGUGGUGAUAUUCACAAAAGCCUUAUCACUGGUGGGAGACCUUUAGUUUACAAGUACCGUGAGGGAAAGAUGAAAAGAACUUUGGAGAGGGAGUUAAAAAGUAUGCGAAAAUGUUGGUAGAAAGCGAAGCUAGUUAGUAACAUUGCUCUGACCUUGGUAAUUAUCAUUGGAUUACGCUAUACUCUUAGUUAUUUAAUGAUCUUUUUACUGUUCAGAGUGGGGUGUAUAUGUCGUUCAUUAACCUGAUUCGACCCGUCUGGAAACACGGACCAAGGAGUCUAGUAUGGGUGCAAGAUUUUGGAAGUACAGUUCCUAGAUUGUAUGUAACCUGAAUCGUGUUUGUCUCAAAUAUAACUGAUAAAUCGCGGAUAG